UACGUAGGUGGCAAGCGUUGUCCGGAAUUAUUGGGCGUAAAGCGCGCGCAGGCGGUCCUUUAAGUCUGAUGUGAAAGCCCACGGCUCAACCGUGGAGGGUCAUUGGAAACUGGGGGACUUGAGUACAGAAGAGAAGAGUGGAAUUCCACGUGUAGCGGUGAAAUGCGUAGAGAUGUGGAGGAACACCAGUAGCGAAGGCGGCACUCUGGGCCGGUACUGACGCUGAGGAGCGAAAGCGUGGGGAGCAAACAGG
rnacentral:rRNA from 1 species